UAGGAGUUGGAAUAUUUCUGCAAGAUUCUCAAUGUGAUAAUACUUCCUGUUUUUACAGCUACCUGCCAUGCUGAAAUUUCCAACAAAGCUGGAACAAGACAUCAUUGGGUCACGCUUGGAGUUUUUACAGCCUUCUUUGUUUUUGGUGGGAUUCUUUUCACAAGAUACUGCAGAUAAAACCAGCAUGUCACUCCAGUCCCUGUUGAUCAAACUCACUCUUCAUCCUACUCAUCCGUCAUAGUAAUGAGCUAAGCUGGUUUUUGUGUUUUUUAACACCAAAAUUAAGCUUCUGUGAUUUACCAAUCAUGAUUUACCUAUUUGCUUGGUUUAAAGAAGGUGCAUCUUAUUGAAGCUACUGUAGAGAUAUAAAAUAGUGAAAUUAAAGCAACAGUCCAUAGAGUCGGCUUUCUCCGGUUUUAUACCGUACGACAAAAAAGCGAAGAGAUAUAGCAACAUAAUCUCUGCCGUAGCAUUCUGUCUUUUUUUUCUUUAUUGUCAUACGUACAGUGUCACAAGUACGAUAGCAUUCUGUCUUUUUUUUCUUUAUUGUCAUUACACAAGUACAGAGCAACGAAAUGAACUCUCUGCAUUUAACUCAUCCCCUGGGAGCAGUUUGGGGUUAAGGGUCUUUGCUGAGGGACCCAGAGUAUUAAUCUGUGGGAGUGGGGCUUGAACUCAGAACCUCAGGAUUCCAAAUGCAAUGCCCUAACCACUAGGCCAUCACUCCCCACAUCAGGUAUGAGUGUGAAGGGUAUUGCUUAAGGACGCACACCGGCAGCUCAUUCCCCCCAGCCGGGAUACGAACCCAGGCUUCCUAUUUGCAAGACGGGUGACUCAUCCUCUGCAUUGCUCCGGUGUACUGCAUAAUAAGUACCGUUCGCUGACUGAUUGCACCACUUGAGCUGCUAUAUUUGCCUAACAUGGGACUAACUGUCUCAAUAAAGACAUGCUACUAGUUAACACGGUCGAAAAUGAAGGAUACAAGUGGUUCAUUAAGGUACUCGACCCUUGUUACCAACACCCUAGGCGUAAAUCUUUCUCUCAGACAGAAAUUCCAAAGCUUUAUUCAGAUUACCGAUAGAUGUUUGAGAACAAGCUACAAAGUGUGUCAUAUUCUUUUGUUUGUUGUCUUUGAAAGGCACUUGAAUAUGCACCAAGGCUUUAAACAAGAUAUAUUUUUUUAUUCUGUUGGAUUUGUAACUCUUUUUGUUUUUAACAACUUAAACAAAACUAUAUGAGAGACUGAGACUCUUUUUAUUUGAUGCUGAUGGAAUUGUUAUACUGUUUGUCCAUUUAGUUAGUUCCCCUGUUACAUUUGGAGGUGUUAAGAUUUACAUUUACAUUGUUUAUUAUCUCAUAAUUAAAGAAAGUAGCAUAUUAUUUUGUUGUCUUUAAAAGCUGCCUUAAUUUGCACUGAAUAUGAAAAAGUGUUUUUUUAUUAUUCUGUUUUAUGUCUUAUAAAAAACAAACUAUUGAAACAAACUAUUCCUUUUUUGUUGCAAGUUUAUUUAACGAGUUCAUAGGCUUUGUUCUUUGGAUGUAUGUUCCUUCAGUAUCUCUUAUGUUUAACAAAAAAAAAAAAUUAAAUCAAACAAUUUCAUUUGAUUUCAUUUCGCACUAAUAAGCUGAGGAACAUUUAAAGUUGUCAAAUGUUGUGAUUGGUUUUAUAUCGUGAUGUAUAAAUGAAAAACAAUAUCUUGAUACUUGAAAAUCCUAUAUUGUCCAGCCCUAUGUAUAGAGUUAGAAAAAACAGUUAUUUCAUUUGAUUUAAAUGGUAGGUUUAAUAUUAUGUUCACUUGUCAAAAAUAAUAUUAAAAUAGUAGUAAUAUUAAAACUGAAAGUUUUAUUGAUGGUUUUGCAUUUUUAAAAAAGUGUUUUGAUAUAUGUCAUUGGAGCAAAAUUAUGCAGGAUGGAAAUAUCUUAACAUCAAUUCAGUUUGCUUUUAUUUACAUAGCACAACUAACUAAAGGUCAUCUCAAGGCACUUUAAGAAGUCAAAGACAUUAAAUCCUCCAGAAAUAUUGGUCAAUAAGUUUCCCUCCCUAAGGAGACCCAGCAGAUUACAUCAAGCUUUCACAAGAAGUAUUCACAAUCACAUUACGCAAUUUAAAACUGGAAAAGCUUGAAAACUUACCUUGAAACUCCUUGAAAAGUACUUGAGUUUGAAGAGGGGUGGAACAACCUACCUCAGGGCCUUUGCCAUCAUCCCAAAGCCCCUCUGUUUCCGUCUUCUGUUUUGACAUUUCGGAGGUGACAGUGGCAUAGGAUGCAGGAGUUUGUUCUUCAGCUGGAGGACUCCCAGUUUGAACUCCAGGUCUGUUCAUCUCAGUUGUUGUGUUAUUGGCCAAAAACUCUACUGGAUGGAUGGAUGGAUAGAUAAUUUGGGUAUUUAUAAACUUUUUCGCCAUAGUUCCUAAAAAGUGUUUUAGUGCAGCAAUAAUGAACAGAGCUUGCUGACCCUCCCUUCUACAUAACAAUCAAUUCUUCCGGCUUUUUCUUUUUUAACCUUUGGAGUUUAACUCCCUUGAUAUUUAUUUAUUUUUCAUACGCAGAAUGAACAUUGACCAAAUCUAUGCAUGCGCAUUUAUAGUAAUAUUUGUGCUUUUGAGACGGCACCAGACCGAGACAGAGGGUUUAUCUUAUGAGCACACGCACACGCAGUGCGAAUGUUACUUUUUUUAACCUGCCGUCACCAUCCAGCGGCUACUCUGCAAACCCCCAACUGGGGGGAUUUUUUUGGAAAUUAGUUAAGAUUAGUCAACUAAUCGAAAGAUUAGUUGUUAAAAAAUUAGUAUUAUAAAGCUUUAAAGUCUGCUGACUUAAAAAAACAGCAAAUAGUUAGUAGGCUUUUUUUUUAUAUGUCUUUUAUUUUCUUAUAUGUAAAUUGUAAAUAAAUGUCAAUGUAUUCUCUUUGUUCUGUAUUUAUCUUAACAUGUGAUUAAACCAGUGCAACAUUUGCUUAUAUAACAA